AUUUACAACCCAAUUAUAAUGUUUUUGUUAUAACAGACACCAAGAUGACUGUAUGAUAAAGGAAUUUAAAGUAUUCUCUUUUUACCACUAAUGUACUGCCUGUGAGAGGACCAGGAGGAAGUAAUCUGUGUCAGUCACUGUUUUAGCCUUAAGAUGUUCAAAAUUAGAAAAUACUUCUUCAAUAUGAAGGAGUAGGAAAAGUCAGACAUAGCUUUGCAGGUCCUCACCUAUUUAUGAGAGGAGAAGGCACAAGUAAACCAGGGCAUUGUUUAAAACUGUAUCCUUAAAACAGGGUUAGCAAGAGAGAAAAGGUGCCAAAGCAAAUUCAAACUGAGCAUAACAAGGAUGGAAGAGCAAGUUAAUUGGAACCAACUCUCUGAAAUGGAAUACAAAUGCAAAAAGUCAGUGGGUCAGAAGAAGAAGAGAGGAGGCUGCAUCUUUUCUGGAGAGCUGCUGAGCAAAUUCAGGGGAAGAAAUUUCAACAGUCUUCAGGGACAGUGUGGGCAGACCUGGAAGCUGGAUCCUGAAUGCUUUGCUGCAGCUCAGAAAGUUGUGGAGACUCAACUGCUAAUCAUAGAAGCAACUGGCAGCUUGCAAAGACUGUCAUACAUGACACUGAUUUACAAACCCUUUUUAGUUCCAUUUUCUCUUAUUUUGUUGUUUUGAAUUUUCCUUAUUAAAUAAGCUUGAGAUUUUAUUCUAACAAGAUCUGCUUCUAAGUUCUACUUGAAUCUGUCUCCCAGGGCUAUAAAGAUCUGGCCAAGCACACAACAUUACAAAACAUUUCCAGAAAACACUGUCCUGGCAAUGAAAGAAGAGGAAAGCUGAGGCUCAAAACAUAAAUAAAUUCAAAAGUUGCAAAAGUGAGAGGCCUCA
rnacentral:lncRNA from 1 species